UACUCCCACUUGUCCACAAAUGAGAUUGGACCAUAGCACUAUGAGUAUGCUAUAACCAUAAAAGCUAUACAUGUAUAUUAUCAUUUUUGCAUCAAUUUUUUAUUACUUUUUUUAUUCUCUCGUACCUGGAUUGUAUGUCAAUGUUAUCAUUUCCUUGUAUUUAAAGUUUCCCCUUUAGACCAUGCGGUCUAUAGGGCAGAUGAUAUGAGGUUCAUCUGUUUCUGUGGCCCACGGUUAACGAGGGUGUCCUAUCGACCAACAUCCUUUACUUUUCUCCAACUAAUGUCAUGUAGCAACAAAAGCUUGGUGGACUCAAAAAGACU